rnacentral:lncRNA from 1 species
GUUUGCCUGCGGAAGCUCUCUCUUUGCCUACCGCCAUCCAAGUAGAUUUGACUUGCUCCUCGUUGCCUUCCGCCAUGAUUGUGAGGCUUCCUCAGCCACGUGGAACUGUGAAUUCUCCAUUAAACCUCUUCCUUUUUAAAUUGCCCAGUCUCUGAUAGUUUGAUCUGCAGUAGUUUGAAUCUGAGGAUGCUGAACCUGUGGAUAAGGAGAGCCUACUUUUCUUGGACAAAUGCCCUGUGUCAGAAGAGUGUGGUAAACAGAAGCUCAGCUCCUUCAAGGAUGACAGCCUUGGUUACACCACCAGUUUCUCUAGGAAAAGAGACCAAAGUCAGGGAGCAGUCGUUUUCACAUGGGAUGAACUCAGUGUAAGAGGCAAGCAGAUUGUGGAAGAUUAGAAGAUAAUGGAUACUAUUAUUCCAUCCAGAUUCCUCUUCAGGACCAAGGACUCAUUUUCCAGCUGGCAGGAAUGUUAGCUACUGACGGCCAUGGCUGAGUUCCUCUUCAGGAAUUAUCCUCCACUUGAGGGGAAUUGCUUUGUUCAGUGUUACACUCCCUCUAUAGUGGCAGCCCACACUGGUUGAUGUGGGGUACAAAGUCCUGGACCUUGUCUUAGAUGGGAUAGUUCUGAAGGGCUAUUCCAGCUCCAGAACUCCUCAUAGGAUUGGCUGAGGUCUCCUCUGCAACUGGAUCACAGUUCAACUUUUUCUUCUGCCCAGUCCUUCUUCUCUCAUCUGUUGCCAGUUUUAUUCGUGAGUGUGUUUCCCAAUAAACCCCCUGCAUGCAAAUCUCAGAGUCUGUUUCCUAGGGAACUCAGCCUAUGUUGGCUAGUGAAAGAAACUUUUAUAUGUAUUUGGAAUAAGCCUUCGGAAGUAUAUACAGGUUAGCUACCUCUACCCUAAGUGAGUGUGAGUGACUAAUGCUAUCCAGUUAUGGAUGAAGGAAAAACUGUAAAAUGGAAUGUCGUUCCAAAGAAUCAAAAUGAUUUGUUAUUCUCAGGAAAAUCCCUUCAUUUGAUCAUGAAUAAAGAUGAAUAGAACUUUUAAGAAUAGAAAGCCCCUUAAAA